CCUAAUACAUGCAAGUCGAGCGAAUGGAUUAAGAGCUUGCUCUUAUGAAGUUAGCGGCGGACGGGUGAGUAACACGUGGGUAACCUGCCCAUAAGACUGGGAUAACUCCGGGAAACCGGGGCUAAUACCGGAUAACAUUUUGAACCGCAUGGUUCGAAAUUGAAAGGCGGCUUCGGCUGUCACUUAUGGAUGGACCCGCGUCGCAUUAGCUAGUUGGUGAGGUAACGGCUCACCAAGGCAACGAUGCGUAGCCGACCUGAGAGGGUGAUCGGCCACACUGGGACUGAGACACGGCCCAGACUCCUACGGGAGGCAGCAGUAGGGAAUCUUCCGCAAUGGACGAAAGUCUGACGGAGCAACGCCGCGUGAGUGAUGAAGGCUUUCGGGUCGUAAAACUCUGUUGUUAGGGAAGAACAAGUGCUAGUUGAAUAAGCUGGCACCUUGACGGUACCUAACCAGAAAGCCACGGCUAACUACGUGCCAGCAGCCGCGGUAAUACGUAGGUGGCAAGCGUUAUCCGGAAUUAUUGGGCGUAAAGCGCGCGCAGGUGGUUUCUUAAGUCUGAUGUGAAAGCCCACGGCUCAACCGUGGAGGGUCAUUGGAAACUGGGAGACUUGAGUGCAGAAGAGGAAAGUGGAAUUCCAUGUUGUAGCGGUGAAAUGCGUAGAGAUAUGGAGGACACCAGUGGCGAAGGCGACUUUCUGGUCUGUAACUGACACUGAGCGCGAAAGCGUGGGGAGCAAACAGAAUUA
rnacentral:rRNA from 1 species